UUUCUCUCCUUGUUGCGUUCCCUGUGGUUCUGCGGUUGUGAACCUUGUGAACUGUUAAUCCUGUGGUCAGUCAGUCGGUGGGUUCAUUGGUCUGUACAAUCACAGGAUCCAUGGUGGCAGUAAACGGCUCAGGGGAGAAGUGGAGGCUGGUGUUAUUGGGGGCUUUCCUCAUCUGUGGGUUAAUCCUGGAGUUUGGUUCGAGUUCCAGAUGAGAGCAACAACAUGACCUCAUUCAUCUGACGACCAAUCAGACUCACCGAUGGAAGCUUCUCCUCCAUGGCCCUCUCCAUGGCGAUAUCCACCAUGUUGGCUGACAGGUCCAGGCCCAGCACCUCCACGCCGAAGUCCUGCAGAACAUCAUCGUCAUCAUCAUAAUCAUCAUUGGGAUAUAUGACCUAACCCGAUCCUAUUGUUUCUAAAUGUGAAUGUGUUUAUAGUGUACUGGACCAUUUCUCCUAUAUACUAAAAGUCACUGGGGGCUGACCUUUGCCAUGUAGAAGUUUCCACCACCAAUGCCACACCCCACAUCCAGCACCUUCAUCCCAGGCUUCAAGUUCAGCAGGUCAACAAACUCCUUUUUUAACCACAAAGAUUUUAAAAAACAAAACAGAAAGUGUCAAGUCCAACUGGGGUUAAAUAACACGUUUGGUAUUUGGAUAUAGAGAAGGCUAAAAGAGCACAGUACCGUGGCAGUCUAUGUUUCAGCAGUCUGUGUAAACCCAGUCUAAACAGUAACUAUGUUUCAGUAGUCUGUGUAAACCCAGUCUAAACAGUAACUAUGUUUCAGCAGUCUGUGUAAACCCAGUCUAAACAGUAACUAUGUUUCAGCAGUCUGUGUAAACCCAGUCUAAACAGUAACUAUGUUUCAGCAGUCUGUGUAAACCCAGUCUAAACAGUAACUA